rnacentral:lncRNA from 1 species
GUCCAAGUCAAUGUGGGAAGAGUGGCAGGGCCAGGACACAGAGGGAGCUUGGUCCUUGCUGACUUGGCUGAGUUGCUGAACCCAACUACCCCCUGUUUCUGACCUCCUUAUUGUGAGGUAAUGAACCCCUGUGUUGAAGCAUCCUAACCAAUACAGCAUGUGAGAAAUUGUCUUCAUCUGGGGCCCCAUCAUGGGCUUCUCUGAAGAAAAAAUGCCACGACCUACGGAUCUUUCAGUGUCUUACGUUAUUGUCUCUCUUAGUAGGGAGAGACCAUGAUGGGGGAUAAGCAGGUUGUUCAAUAGAACAGAAUUACCUGGUCGUCACUAUGAAGCAGGCUUGUGCAACUGGAUAACAAAGGGGGGUGCUUACUGCUCACUUUACCUCUGGAAGACGGUGAAUACUGCCUUUCAAGCCUUGGAUUCAUUUCCUCUCCUGGAUCUAACGCUGGGCGAGACAACCACAGCUCCAGACAGCGUCAGGUGGAGCCAGCAGCAAGGCGGUGAGAUGCGCCCUGCAGGGCUUGGGCAGGCCCUGCGCUCAGAGAGAGGGCGGUGGGAGCCUGGCAGCUCCAGCCUCCAGCAGGGAGGGUUUGGAACACAGGUAGAAAAGCAUGAAAGGGAAAAUUGGCUGAAUGGGAGGAGUAGACCAUCCCAGUCAGAGAAAGGAGUAGAUUGAGAAGACAGAGGUGAGAGAGAGAGAGAGAGAGAGAUUACUGUGGGCUGAGGCAAUCUGGGAAGGAGGGUGCUGGGGUGGGGGUGGGACAAGGACUUAGGGUGAAAAACCAGGAGCAGAGGGUAAGGGAGUUGUGAGAGAGAAUGCUGGAAGGUAAAGGUGGACAUGGGCAUGGUUGUAGAGAGCCCCACACAGGGCUGAGUUUGGACUUGGCCCCCUUAAGUGCUCACCAGAACUCUGGAUUCCAUAGACCAUUGAUUUUUUUUUUAAAGUAGGGCUAAGUUGGGAAAGAAUGAAAGUAGGUUACCAACUUUAUUUUCCAUGUAAGGACACACACACACACACACACACAUACACACACACACACACACCAUUAACUAUUCUAGUGCUUUUGUAAAUGAAAAGAUAUUUUAACACCCUUUAGAAAAAAAAUAUGGAGAAUGAAUUGUCAAAAUAAAGGACAAUACUUUUGAGAAAGGACA